AACGAACGCUGGCGGCAUGCCUAACACAUGCAAGUCGAACGAGACCUUCGGGUCUAGUGGCGCACGGGUGCGUAACGCGUGGGAACCUGCCCUUAGGUUCGGAAUAACUCCCCGAAAGGGGUGCUAAUACCGGAUAAUGUCUUCGGACCAAAGAUUUAUCGCCUUUGGAUGGGCCCGCGUUGGAUUAGCUAGUUGGUAGGGUAAAAGCCUACCAAGGCAACGAUCCAUAGCUGGUCUGAGGGGAUGAUCAGCCACACUGGGACUGAGACACGGCCCAGACUCCUACGGGAGGCAGCAGUGGGGAAUAUUGGACAAUGGGCGAAAGCCUGAUCCAGCAAUGCCGCGUGAGUGAUGAAGGCCUUAGGGUUGUAAAGCUCUUUUACCCGGGAUGAUAAUGACAGUACCGGGAGAAUAAGCUCCGGCUAACUCCGUG
rnacentral:rRNA from 1 species